rnacentral:rRNA from 1 species
UAAUUUAACUUGGGAGUCAGAACAUGGGUGAUAAGGUCCGUGUUCGAAAGGGAAACAGCCCAGACCACCAGCUAAGGUCCCAAAAUAUAUGUUAAGUGGAAAAGGAUGUGGCGUUGCCCAGACAACUAGGAUGUUGGCUUAGAAGCAGCCAUCAUUUAAAGAGUGCGUAAUAGCUCACUAGUCGAGUGACACUGCGCCGAAAAUGUACCGGGGCUAAACAUAUUACCGAAGCUGUGGAUUGUCCUUUGGACAAUGGUAGGAGAGCGUUCUAAGGGCGUUGAAGCAUGAUCGUAAGGACAUGUGGAGCGCUUAGAAGUGAGAAUGCCGGUGUGAGUAGCGAAAGACGGGUGAGAAUCCCGUCCACCGAUUGACUAAGGUUUCCAGAGGAAGGCUCGUCCGCUCUGGGUUAGUCGGGUCCUAAGCUGAGGCCGACAGGCGUAGGCGAUGGAUAACAGGUUGAUAUUCCUGUACCACCUAUAAUCGUUUUAAUCGAUGGGGGGACGCAGUAGGAUAGGCGAAGCGUGCGAUUGGAUUGCACGUCUAAGCAGUAAGGCUGAGUAUUAGGCAAAUCCGGUACUCGUUAAGGCUGA